rnacentral:rRNA from 1 species
GAUGAACGCUAGCGGGAGGCUUAACACAUGCAAGUCGAGGGGCAGCAUAGGGUAGCAAUACUUUGGUGGCGACCGGCGCACGGGUGAGUAACACGUAUGCAACCUUCCCUGUACAGGGGGAUAACCCGGAGAAAUUCGGACUAAUACCCCAUGAUGAUAUUAUGGGGCAUCCUUUAAUAUUUAAAGCUCUGGCGGUACAGGAUGGGCAUGCGCGACAUUAGCUAGUUGGUAAGGUAACGGCUUACCAAGGCGACGAUGUUUAGGGGACCUGAGAGGGUUGUCCCCCACACUGGUACUGAGACACGGACCAGACUCCUACGGGAGGCAGCAGUGAGGAAUAUUGGUCAAUGGGCGCAAGCCUGAACCAGCCAUCCCGCGUGCAGGAAGACGGCCCUACGGGUUGUAAACUGCUUUUCCAGGGAGAGAAACUUACGCACGUGUUGCGUGACUGACGGUACCCUGGGAAUAAGCAUCGGCUAACUCCGUG